GACGAACGCUGGCGGCGUGCUUAACACAUGCAAGUCGAGCGGAGCGGCGAACGGGUGAGUAACGCGUGAGUAACUGCCCCCCUCUCUGGGAUAACAGUUGGAAACGGCUGCUAAUACCGGAUAGUGGGGGAUGACUCGCGUCUUAUGGGCUUGUUGGUGGGGUAGUGGCCUACCAAGGCGACGACGGGUAGCCGGCCUGAGAGGUGGACCGGCCACAUUGGUCUACGAUAGGGCCCAAGCUCCUACUGGAGGCAGCAGUGGGAAAUAUUGCACAAUGGGGGAAACCCUGAUGCAGCAACGCGCGUGCGGAAUGACUGCCUUCGGGUUGUAAACCGCUUUCAGCCAUGGCGCGGUAGUGGCAGAAGAAGCACCGGCUAACUACGUGCCAGCAGCCGCGGUAAUAC
rnacentral:rRNA from 1 species